rnacentral:misc_RNA from 1 species
UACUACAACUAUCUUCUACUUAGGG